rnacentral:rRNA from 1 species
GCUUAACGCGAAGAACCUUACCAGCCCUUGACAUGGCAGGACGAUUUCCGGAGACGGAUCUCUUCACUUCGGUGACCUGCACACAGGUGCUGCAUGGCUGUCGUCAGCUCGUGUCGUGAGAUGUUCGGUUAAGUCCGGCAACGAGCGCAACCCACACUUUCAGUUGCCAUCAUUCAGUUGGGCACUCUGGAAGAACUGCCGGUGAUAGGCCGGAGGAAGGUGUGGAUGACGUCAAGUCCUCAUGGCCCUUACGGGUUGGGCUACACACGUGCUACAAUGGUGGUGACAAUGGGUUAAUCCCCAAAAGCCAUCUCAGUUCGGAUUGGGGUCUGCAACUCGACCCAUGAAGUCGGAAUCGCUAGUAAUCGCGUAACAGCAUGACGCGGUGAAUACGUUCCCGGGUCUUGUACACACCG